AUAUAUAUAUAUAUAUAUAGAGAGAGAGAGAGAAUUAGGCUACUAUACUAUCUAUAGUACCGAGCUCCGGUACUAUAGUGUUUGUUUUCGAUCUUAGGGCGUUCAAAUCAAUGAUCCACACCGUUAAAUAUGAUCUAGGGUAUAUGAAUUUCUUAGGAAUAAAAUUUUAGUUUUUUUCGAUAUCGUUUACUUAGUAAAUAAAUUAUAUCAAAUUGGACAGUGGAAAUUGAAUAAUCUUUAAAACUUGAGCAUAGGACUUUUAAAUUCAAGAUCAAGAAUGUUAACCUUAAUUUAUAUAGUUUAAAGUAUUUUCUAUCAAAAUUUGAAGAAAUUUAGAUUCUUCUACACAUGUUAAACUCCAAACUCGUCAUAAUAGCCAUUGAAAAUUGAUAAUUUUGAAAUAGUUUGAUUAUAAAGUAAACUAUGUCGAAAAAAUAUAAAAUUUUAUUUCUAGAAACUUUAAAUACCCUAGAUCAGUUUUAACGGUGUGGAUCGUUGAUUUGAACACCCUAAGAUCGAAAACCAACACUAUAGUACCGGAGCUCGGUACUAUAGAUAGUAUAGUAGCAUAUAU
rnacentral:lncRNA from 1 species